GACGAACGCUGGCGGCGUGCUUAACACAUGCCAGUCGAACGGAAAGGCCCCUUUGGGGGUACUCGAGUGGCGAACGGGUGAGUAACACGUGAGUAACCUGCCCUUGACUUCGGGAUAACUUCAGGAAACUGGGGCUAAUACCGGAUAGGAAUCCUUGCUGCAUGGUGGGGGUUGGAAAGCUUCGGCGGUUUUGGAUGGACUCGCGGCUUAUCAGCUUGUUGGUGGGGUAGUGGCUUACCAAGGCUUUGACGGGUAGCCGGCCUGAGAGGGCGACCGGCCACAUUGGGACUGAGAUACGGCCCAGACUCCUACGGGAGGCAGAAGUGGGGAAUAUUGCACAAUGGGCGGAAGCCUGAUGCAGCAACGCCGCGGGCGGGAGGACGGCCUUCGGGUUGUAAACCGAUUUCAGCAGGGGCGAAGCUUGUGGUGACGGUACCUGCAGAAGAAGCACCGGCUAACUACGUG
rnacentral:rRNA from 1 species